CCUACGGGAGGCAGCAGUGAGGAAUAUUGGUCAAUGGCCGAGAGGCUGCACCAGCCAAGUCGCGUGAGGGAAGACGGCCCUACGGGUUGUAAACCUCUUUUGUCGGGGAGCAAAGAGAGUCACGUGUGACUCAUUGCGAGUACCCGAAGAAAAAGCAUCGGCUAACUCCGUGCCCGCAGCCGCGGUACUACGGAGGAUGCGAGCGUUAUCCGGUUUUAUUGGGUUAAAGGGGUGCGCAGGGGGAGGUGCAAGUCAGCGGUCAAAUUGCGGGGCUCAACCCCGUACUGCCGUUGAAACUGCAUCCCUUGAGUGCGCGAGAAGGAUGCGGAAUGCGUGGUGUAGCGGGGAAAUGCAUAGAUAGCACGCAGAACUCCGAUUGCGAAGGCAGCAUACCGGCGCGCAACUGACGCUCAUGCACGAAAGCGUGGGUAUCGAACAGGAUUAGAUACCCCUGUAGUC
rnacentral:rRNA from 1 species